GGGCGCUGUGCUGCGGGCUGCGCUGGUGGGGGGCGGCGGGCCGCGGUGCGGGCCGGGGCCCGGCGCGUGCUGCUGGGAGGCGCUGUGGGGGGCGGGCGCGCGGGCGGCGGCCGGGGCCAUGGCCGAGGUCGGCGGGAGCGCGCGGAGGAGGGCGCCAGCGCUGCUCGAGGCGGCCCGCGCGCCCUACGAGAGCCUGCACAUCUGGGUCGACGUGUUCGGCGAGUCCGGCCCCGACAGCGGCGGGAACCCCUUCUAAAGCACGUCCGCCGCCUCGCGCUCCUCCUCGGCCGCCUCCUCGGACGACGAACACGAGCGCCCUGGCCCCCCCGCCGCCUCCCGUCGCCACCGAAGCGCAGGAGUCCGACGAGGACGGGGCCAGCGCGGGUUGGAGUGCCACGCUGCGGGACCGCCCGCCCCCGCGCUUCGAGGACACUGGCGGAUCACUUGCUCAGAGCAGAGAAGAGUGAGAGGACCAGUUAGGAGCGUUAAGCUGUCUGCUCUCUCUCCAGACGGCACUUGUGUGUUCUGCUUACCGACACGGUCAUGGUCAAGCCCCUGAUAUCUGGAGGUCGCAGGCCUGCUGGCAGUUGUGGCUGCUUGAAGUCCUCCUUUACUGCCUUCUUUUUGGGAAGAUGUGUGGAGGGCCAUGGCUGACUUGGAUGCAGUUGGGGUCAUCUCACGGCACAUGGAAUACACAAUUUAUCUUGCUUCCUGUCUUGAUAAUGACAUCUUGGUUUUCAUGCUGUCUUAGAACAAGUAGAACUUGACUUACAUGUAAGUUGUGAAUUCACGUACUUU